rnacentral:rRNA from 1 species
AUACGGAGGAUCCAAGCGUUAUCCGGAUUUAUUGGGUUUAAAGGGUGCGCAGGCGGAAGAUUAAGUCGGCGGUGAAAUUUUGCAGCUCAACUGUAAAAGUGCCUUCGAAACUGGUUUCCUUGAGUGUGGUUGAAGUAGGCGGAAUUUGUGGUGUAGCGGUGAAAUGCUUAGAUAUCACGAGGAACUCCGAUUGCGCAGGCAGCUUACUAAACCACUACUGACGCUCAGGCACGAAGGCGUGGGGAUCAAACAGGAUUAGAUACCCUGGUAGUCCACGCAGUAAACGAUGAUUACUGGCUGUUUGCGAUACAAUGUAAGCGGCUGAGCGAAAGCGUUAAGUAAUCCACCUGGGGAGUACGGUCGCAAGAAUGAAACUCAAAUGAAUUGACGGGG